AGGUGGCCGAGUGGUAAAGAAUCUGCCUGCCAAUGCAGGAGAUGCAAGAGACGUGGGUUCAUUCCCUGGGUUGGGAAGAUCCCCUGGAGGAGGGCAUGGCAACCCACUCCAGGGUUCUUGCCUGGAGAAUCCCAUGGACAGAGGAGCCUGGCAGGCUACAGUCCACCGGGUCUCACAGAGUCAGAUACGACCGAAGCAACUUAGCACACGUGCCGACAGAAUGAGAAGACUGAGCCUCAGGGAAACAGUCAGGGUCUCCUGAGGACACACGGCUGGAGAGUCACAGGGAAGGCACUCGAAUUAGACCUGGGCGUCUAGGAGGCCCAUGCUGGUCCUGCCUCGGCUGAUUCUCCAGGCUGACUCCUUCACAUCCUGACAGUUACCUCUUCAGAGGGGCCUUCCCCAGCCAUUCCUCCUGCAUAAGUCCCUGGCAUUCUUUGUCACUGUGCCAGCCCUUCUCCCUUCAGAGAACUGAUCACAAUCUGCAAUUCUACGUUCCGCUCUUCACAAAAUAAUAUGAAGCCAUCACUUAUUGAAGAAAUAUUAUCCUGAUAUGAUUUCAAGCACUUCUCCUGUAUUAUCUCAUUACCUCUCACAUCGGUCUCAUGAAGUCAGCACUUAGCCAUCGACGUACUCUAUUUUACUUCUUUCCAUAACAGGGUUAUAAAAGGUGACAUUAAUAUUUUCAUUGUACAGAUAAUAGAACUGGCACACGGGGAGGCUGAGUAACUUACUCAAGGUCAUAGAGCUGAUAAGGAGCACAUAUGUCUCCUCCACUAGACUCUACGCUUUGUGAGGGCAGGGACUCUGUUCCAAAAGCUGAAGCAGUAACUAACACAUAAUAUGCACUCACCAAACACUGAAUCAAUACAGAGAUGAAUGCUAAGGGAAAAAAGAACAUAGCUGAGCUAUUAAGUGUGCUCAGAAAUAGCUGCUUUACCUCUGACCACACUAUCGAGUCUGGGCACUGACUUCAGUGCUCUAGUCUGGGGAUUAGUAUGUGAGUGAAUAUGUGUGUGUGUGCGUGAGUCCAUGCAUGCACUCUCUUGUAUGUGUGUCCAUUGCAUGUGCAAGUGUGUGCAUGUCCGUGCCUAUGUGUGUAUGCAAGUGUGUGUAUUUCGGUGCAUGUGUGGUAGGCGGAUGGAUCAAGGUGUGGAAGGUUGAAUCUGCUCAUCACCAUGACGCUCUGAAAGAGGAACAGGGACUUGACCCUACAUUACCUCAGCUGCCUCCAGUGGAGAGAAGCCAGCCCCAGAAAUGUCGCUGGGUUCUGGGUGCAAAGAGAGGGAAAGGGCAUGGCAGCCAAUGGGUUCAUAGUCAAAGUGAGAGGAAUGUUAAACUUUGAUGCUACAAGCAAAAUGGAGCCACUGUAGGCUAUGGUGCACCCAUUCCAUUCAUUCCAGGUUCGAGUCUCCAAGCUUUAAGUCUGUUCGGCUAGAGUGGGAAAAGACUGGCAAAGCAGGCUGAAUAAAGGAUCUGGUCCUUCAUCUAAACCAAGAGCAAAGGAGACCACUGGUAGGUUUUCCACAAAGAAGAGAUGACGAGACUUGCAUUCUUAGGGGUCAGUCUGGGUGCAGCACAGUCAACAGGCAGGAGGGAGGCCAGAAGCUAGAAGAAGACUAGAGAGGGGAGCUGAGGGAAAUCUGGGUUUACUUAGGAGGGAAAAUCCACAGGAAUUGCUGGCUGUCACUGUAGGGGCUGGAGGAGAGGGUGGUAGCCUCCAGGUUUCUGGAAUAAUGGAGCAGCCACUCGAUGAGAUGGAGAACACAGAUAGAGAACAGAUCUGGGAGGCUGGGGGAGGAGGAAUAAAGUUAAAGCCUUCUCUCAGAGGAAGACAAAAGUGGCAGAUGCAACAACAAUCCUUUAAUCAGACUCACUUGUUGUAAGGGCUCUUAGGCUAAUCUGAGGGGCCUCUUAUAAAAACAAACUUGACAUCUUGGAGAAACUAUUCAUUGGCUACAACGACUGCUCCCCAUGCAGCCUCAGAUUCCCAGCUAAUUGUAAAGACCUAUUUAGGAGCAACUUCACCAGCACUGAGCAUCUGCUUGGACUUUAUUUCAAGUAAAUCGUCCUCAUGUCAUUAAAGCUUAAUAGCUUCUUCAGUGUUAUUUCUUUGGAGGAUAAUGUUCCAUUCCUCCCCAUAUUUCAGGAAAUCCAGAAGAUAUAUCA
ensembl:lncRNA